rnacentral:lncRNA from 1 species
CAGCUCGACCCGCCCAUCCAGCGGGAACACACUUCUCCUUCUGCUCUCUGUCCGCUGGAAGUUUGGGCGUUUUCUCUCCCGUUGCUCCGUUCUCAUCUCACUUACCGGACAUUUCCCCGGGAAACAACAGAGCACCGGUUCCCGUGCGGUCGUUAUUAAGCUUCUCUCCGGAGAGACGGAGUUUCCAAACGGACCGUAAACUCCGCCGACAGCCUCCAUGCUGCUGCCCGCACAGGCUGUGCGACGGCAGCUGAUUUGGGAUCAGAUGAUCUGGUAGCUGCAGGACUAAUGAAGUGAUGAAGCUGCCCGGUGCUCUCUACUGCCCCCUGUAGUUCCUCUGAGUGAUGAAGCUGCCCGGCGCUCUCUACUGCCCCCUGUGGUUCCUCCUGCUGCUGGCAGCCGGAUCUCUGCUGCUGCUCGUCCGCCUGCAGGAUCUCACCGACACCCCAGGUGUGAAUGUGCUGGUGGCUCCCAGGUGGCCUGUAGACAAGGACGACGUGGAGACAGUCUCGUCUGCGUCUCUGCCGGAGCUCCAAGACUUCAAACCGCCGGUCACCAAACGCCACAGGAAGCUGCUCCUGCAGACCCCUAACCCAUCCGCCGCCGAGGAACGCCACGGGAAGCUGCUCCUGCAGACCCCUAACCCGGCCGCCGCCGAGGAACGCCACGGGAAGCUGCUCCUGCAGACCCCUAACCCGGCCGCCGCCGUGGGCGGAGAUGGAGCGGAGGAACAGCGCCGGCAGCAGCUGGCAGAGACGCAGGCGUCCCGCCGGCGCCGGCUGAACGACGUCUGCGCCAUAUACCAGCCGGGCGCCAGCGAGCAGCGCGUCUCCCGCCGUCAG